rnacentral:rRNA from 1 species
UACAGAGGGGGCAAGCGUUGUUCGGAAUUACUGGGCGUAAAGGGCGCGUAGGCGGCCCGCUAAGUCGAACGUGAAAUCCCCGAGCUCAACUCGGGAACUGCGUCCGAUACUGGCGGGCUUGAAUCCGGGAGAGGGAUGCGGAAUUCCAGGUGUAGCGGUGAAAUGCGUAGAUAUCUGGAGGAACACCGGUGGCGAAGGCGGCAUCCUGGACCGACACUGACGCUGAGGAGCGAAAGCCAGGGGAGCAAACGGG